AGCUCGAUAGCUCAGUGGAAGAGCGACGGGCUCAUAUCAUAUGCUAUGAAUAUUGUGGCACCCGUAGGACGGUGGAUCGAAACCACUUCGAGCUA